rnacentral:rRNA from 1 species
GAUGAACGCUGGCGGCGUGCCUAAUACAUGCAAGUCGAACGGAGAAUGUAGCAAUACGUUCUUAGUGGCGAACGGGUGAGUAACGCGUUGGUGACCUGCCCCGAAGUGUGGGAUAACAGUCCGAAAGGAUUGCUAAUACCGCAUGUGGUCAAUGGCAUUAGAAACGAUUGAUUAAAGCAGCAAUGCGCUUCGGGAGGGGCCUGCGUCCCAUCAGCUAGUUGGUAAGGUAACGGCUUACCAAGGCGAUGACGGGUAGGGGACCUGAGAGGGUGGCCCCCCACAAUGGAACUGAAACACGGUCCAUACACCUACGGGUGGCAG